rnacentral:rRNA from 1 species
UACGUAGGGUGCGAGCGUUAAUCGGAAUUACUGGGCGUAAAGCGUGCGCAGGCGGUUUUGUAAGCCAGAUGUGAAAUCCCCGGGCUUAACCUGGGAAUGGCAUUUGGGACUGCGAGGCUUGAGUGCGGCAGAGGAGACUGGAAUUCCUGGUGUAGCAGUGAAAUGCGUAGAUAUCAGGAGGAACACCGAUGGCGAAGGCAGGUCUCUGGGCUGACACUGACGCUCAUGCACGAAAGCGUGGGGAGCAAACAGG